rnacentral:misc_RNA from 1 species
AAUGGUUCAAAGUCCAACUCUAGCACAAACUUGCCAUUGACAUUGCCAUUGACACUUCCAUUAACAAGUUCCUCCUUGAAGUGCAGAUACUCAGCAACACGCAACUCCUCAACAACGAGGGCAUGGACGUUCACUCUAAUGUACUCCCAAACACCAGGCCUUGGACGCACAGCAAAAGCAACACAGGGAGGCAAAACAAUUGCUUCCUGUGCAGAUCUCAGAACUUCCCCAAAUACGCUAUCCAAUAGUUUCUUUCUGUUCUCUUCUGGGAUUGCUUCAAACUCAGCAAUUAUGUGGUGAUGCUGAAGAAUUCCUUUUCCCUUACCUUCAAUCCUUGAGAGUAAGGCCACAAUUUCAUUGCGGUGAGCAGAAAGUGUCUC